UACGAAGGGGGCUAGCGUUGCUCGGAAUCACUGGGCGUAAAGCGCACGUAGGCGGAUCUUUAAGUCAGGGGUGAAAUCCUGGAGCUCAACUCCAGAACUGCCUUUGAUACUGGGGAUCUCGAGUCCGGAAGAGGUGAGUGGAACUCCGAGUGUAGAGGUGAAAUUCGUAGAUAUUCGGAAGAACACCAGUGGCGAAGGCGGCUCACUGGUCCGGUACUGACGCUGAGGUGCGAAAGCGCGGGGAGCAAACAGGAUAGAAACCCUG
rnacentral:rRNA from 1 species